GCGAAAGACGGGUGAGAAUCCCGUCCACCGAUUGACUAAGGUUUCCAGAGGAAGGCUCGUCCGCUCUGGGUUAGUCGGGUCCUAAGCUGAGGCCGACAGGCGUAGGCGAUGGAUAACAGGUUGAUAUUCCUGUACCACCUAUAAUCGUUUUAAUCGAUGGGGGGACGCAGUAGGAUAGGCGAAGCGUGCGAUUGGAUUGCACGUCUAAGCAGUAAGGCUGAGUAUUAGGCAAAUCCGGUACUCGUUAAGGCUGAGCUGUGAUGGGGAGAAGACAUUGAGUCUUCGAGUCGUUGAUUUCACACUGCCGAGAAAAGCCUCUAGAUAGAAAAUAGGUGCCCGUACCGCAAACCGACACAGGUAGUCAAGAUGAGAAUUCUAAGGUGAGCGAGCGAACUCUCGUUAAGGAACUCGGCAAAAUGACCCCGUAACUUCGGGAGAAGGGGUGCUCUUUAGGGUUAACGCCCAGAAGAGCCGCAGUGAAUAGGCCCAAGCGACUGUUUAUCAAAAACACAGGUCUCUGCUAAACCGUAAGGUGAUGUAUAGGGGCUGACGCCUGCCCGGUGCUGGAAGGUUAAGAGGAGUGGUUAGCUUCUGCGAAGCUACGAAUCGAAGCCCCAGUAAACGGCGGCCGUAACUAUAACGGUCCUAAGGUAGCGAAAUUCCUUGUCGGGUAAGUUCCGACCCGCACGAAAGGCGUAACGAUUUGGGCACUGUCUCAACGAGAGACUCGGUGAAAUCAUAGUACCUGUGAAGAUGCAGGUUACCCGCGACAGGACGGAAAGACCCCGUGGAGCUUUACUGUAGCCUGAUAUUGAAAUUCGGCACAGCUUGUACAGGAUAGGUAGGAGCCUUUGAAACGUGAGCGCUAGCUUACGUGGAGGCGCUGGUGGGAUACUACCCUAGCUGUGUUGGCUUUCUAACCCGCACCACUUAUCGUGGUGGGAGACAGUGUCAGGCGGGCAGUUUGACUGGGGCGGUCGCCUCCUAAAAGGUAACGGAGGCGCUCAAAGGUUCCCUCAGAAUGGUUGGAAAUCAUUCAUAGAGUGUAAAGGCAUAAGGGAGCUUGACUGCGAGACCUACAAGUCGAGCAGGGUCGAAAGACGGACUUAGUGAUCCGGUGGUUCCGCAUGGAAGGGCCAUCGCUCAACGGAUAAAAGCUACCCCGGGGAUAACAGGCUUAUCUCCCCCAAGAGUUCACAUCGACGGGGAGGUUUGGCACCUCGAUGUCGGCUCAUCGCAUCCUGGGGCUGUAGUCGGUCCCAAGGGUUGGGCUGUUCGCCCAUUAAAGCGGUACGCGAGCUGGGUUCAGAACGUCGUGAGACAGUUCGGUCCCUAUCCGUCGUGGGCGUAGGAAAUUUGAGAGGAGCUGUCCUUAGUACGAGAGGACCGGGAUGGACAUACCUCUGGUGUACCAGUUGUCGUGCCAACGGCAUAGCUGGGUAGCUAUGUGUGGACGGGAUAAGUGCUGAAAGCAUCUAAGCAUGAAGCCCCCCUCAAGAUGAGAUUUCCCAACUUCGGUUAUAAGAUCCCUCAAAGAUGAUGAGGUUAAUAGGUUCGAGGUGGAAGCAUGGUGACAUGUGGAGCUGACGAAUACUAAUCGAUCGAAGACUUAAUCAAAA
rnacentral:rRNA from 1 species